GUAAUGGAAAGCCAAAUACACAGUCAGUACAAUUCAAAACAAAAUGAUGUAUACAUUUAGAAAGUGCAAAUUAUUUACGAACAGAUCCUAGUUUUUAGGUCCAUUUAUUGAUUUCAUAUAAUUCCUACAUUCUUGGCUGUACAGGAAUGCACCUCUUAUACCUUCUGAAGUGCCUCAUGGAACAAUAAAAUAUCCGCUGAAAGUCUAUUUAUGAGUAAUUUACUCAAUGUUGUUUUGAGAAAACGGAUCGUACACGUUCUAACACUCUUAUUCUUCAGAAACCUGUUAAACCAGAGGGAGCUGUGUAAGUAACGCAUUGGAAUCUGUGGAUGAAGAUGGUGCCCGGUGCUCAUCUUCAAUAAGCGUACUUACGCUGAUCAGCCACAAAGCAACACAGACAGACAUGCAUCGCACACACACAGAAAAAGAGAAAACUAUCUAUAUAUAUUACCUUUUGUAGAAAUACUUUAAUCAAAUGUAUCAAUAGUUUAGUAUAGUUCCAAAAAGCCUCUCUUGUCAUUAAUCAGAAUAACAAAGAAUGUGUCUUUGCACGUGUUAGAGUUAACGACCACUUGGUAAUUUGUAUUUCUCUAUGACCGCGUCAGCGUGAGGACAUGUGAACGGGUCCCUUGUUGUUCUCACACAGAUGAGCUGCGUCUUUGUUGGGCCGUCCGGCUCACAGCUUCUCCGGUGAUGAGUUCCUCCGCAUGCAUCCAGCCUCCCUCAGUGGAAGAGGACCCCCACCAACUCCACCUCAUAAUUACCGCUAAUCUGGACAAUGAAGCUCACAUGAUUACCAUAUUAAUGGUCUUGAUGGUGAUGCAGAUAAUCCAUGGGGGGGUUCUAUGAAGGAGCAGGAGCCGGACUGUUGACAAGAACAAAACUUAACCCGUUUCAAUACUUCAUUAGCCUCUUUCUCCUUCGACGCUCUCAUUCACUCCGUUUCUCUCCUCUCUCCCUCUGCCAGGAGGCAGGAGGGUUCAGGAGGAAGGCGCUGACGCUCCACCUGCUGGCUCCCUGUGGCCGGGUGAUUGGGAGGCAUUUCUUUCUCCCUAUUCUUGAUAUUACUCCAGCUGUCUUGUUGCUCCACGUGCUUGGAUUUUAAGUAAGACAUUUUUGUGGGUUUUAACAACAGGUGGUUCUUACAGUGGUCGUUUCAGCUGGAAAAAAGUUGUUUAGGACUCUCAGAAAAAUUGCUGGAGGUUAAAAAGGGGAAGGUGACAAAUCAAAAGACAAAGCAAAAGGUUGUUGACUGUUUCAGCCUCGAAUAAACAGGUGUGGUGUGCAAAAACAAUCCCAGCUGGAAGGCCUACGCCAACUCUAAGGUAAUAGAGACUGGGAGCAGUUCAAGCCACAGCUGGUGACUCUAACUUUUAUUAUAUUUGAUCAAACUGUCACUACAUCCUGCCAGUAGUACAAGAGACAGAUAAUCUGUGAAAAAAGGAUACGUUUCCUCUGCAUCUUUUAGAGCUCCUGAUGGCGUUUGGAAAAUUCCACCGCGAACGAUGAAAAGCAACAAAUCAGAGGCGAUUGCAAAACAUACAUUUCUUGAUUGGUUUUGUAUUUUUAGAGGGAAGUGGUUGUUGAAGACAUAAGGCAGAUUUGUUGUGGUGCUCGUCCUCGCCCCUGAAGGAGAGGAAGAGGCGUCUGACUGCAGAGACACUGGCAUGGUGUCAGGAGACAGGCCUCAUUACCUGGGCGUAACCGGAGAUAGAGAACAAUGCCUCACCAGCCUGACCUGUGACCUUUUGCAGCCUGCCCUGUGACCUGCUGCCCAGGUACCAUCAGAAGAGGGCACGGAGGAUAGAAAACCAUGUGAUCGUUAGUGGAGUGGACUUCCUCUAUCACUAAGCAAGGUGGAGCGUGCUGCGGCCUGCAAGCAGGACCUUGUUUCAUGAGUGGCAACUGUUGUAGGGAUUAUGAGGGAAUACAAUAUCCACCUGGUUGGAUUUGAGUCAAAUCCCCCCCCACACACCAGGACAGAAAUAAACUCCAAUACUGUACUAAAGUACAAUUUUGAUGGUACUUUACUCGACUAUUAUAAUGUUAUUGCUAAAAAUAUAACAUACAUACCAAACAAUUGUGUGUAUAAAUCCAAUAAGUCAAUGUUUAACAAAACAAGUCACAGAAGUCCUUUUUCUGUGCAAUGUUUAUUUUUACACGGUACAUUUUGUGAUAAUACUUCUGAUAAUUAUCACAAUGUGUUUAUGUGAUAAACAAUGCAAUAGAAUAAAGCCACUUGAGGACAACAUAACAUACAAUAUUCUACAUUUUUCUUACUGUGAACAAAUCCCACGAAAGAACAGUGUGU